rnacentral:sRNA from 1 species
GUUCUUGCUGCCGGUCCUAACGUCCCGCAGUCUUCGCCAGCCAGCCGUCCCGCACGCGCGUUUGGGCGGCGUGGAGCCUGCUGCCAUGAAGUCAGCGAGAGCUAAGACACCCCGGAAACCUACCGUGAAAAAAGGGUCCCAAACGAACCUUAAAGACCCAGUUGGGGUAUACUGUAGGGUGCGCCCACUGGGCUUUCCUGAUCAAGAGUGUUGCAUAGAAGUGAUCAAUAAUACAACUGUUCAGCUUCAUACUCCUGAGGGCUACAGACUCAACCGAAAUGGAGACUAUAAGGAGACUCAGUAUUCAUUUAAACAAGUAUUUGGCACUCACACCACCCAGAAGGAACUCUUUGAUGUUGUGGCUAAUCCCUUGGUCAAUGACCUCAUUCAUGGCAAAAAUGGUAUGAUAUGACUCUUGGAGUUUUGUUAGAUUUUCCUUUUUCUCCUCUUCUGAUAAAACUUUUUUGAUAUUUAUAUAUUUGAUUUAUGUUUGGUGUUGAAUCCAUAUUUAAUUUGUUAGGGUGGUGCUAAACUUGCCUUUUUUGAGCUGGCUAAUUGUUAGUGU